rnacentral:misc_RNA from 1 species
GAUGAGGAACGUAGCGAAAUGCGAUAAGUAAUGUGAAUUGCAGAAUUCAGUGAAUCAUCGAAUCUUUGAACGCACCUUGCACCCUUUGGCAUUCCGAAGGGUAUGCUCGUUUGAGUGUCAUUGUACUCUCACACUCCCACUCUUUUGGAUUGGGAGCGGUGGACUUGGGUGUUGCUGCUUCACUGUGGCUCGCCUCAAAUGGAGUAGUGCAACUCUCGGUUGGACAUAGUACGGCGUGAUAAGUGUCUUCGCUGGCGCCUCACUAGAGGGUGGCCGAUCGGGAGCUCUGUGCUUCAAACCGUCUUCGGACAAUCUCUGACAACUUGACCUCAAAUCGAGUAGGACUACCCGCUGAACUUAAGCAUAUCAAUAAGCGGAGGA